AAACAGGUCAGACCCCCCCUGCCCAGCUGCUGGCUGGGCGGGGGGGGAAGCCAUGCAGCCGGGUGAGCUCCAGCAUGGAAACCUCAACAGAUGGCAGAACUUCUCUUCUGAACUAUGGCAUCUUCAACAAGGAUUCACACACUUAUCACUUGCUUCUCCUCCCAUUUCCUGCUCCAGUAGAAUGAAGAUGAGAAUUGUAAAUAAAAAGGUGAAGAUCACAGGUUGAGUAUGAAUACAUAAUGCUGAUCUAUCCUACACCAUUGCCAUCCCAGAAGAAACCUCUUUGACCCUGCUGCAAGAUCAAAACCUGCUGUUGCUGCCCAGUGCAUUGAAGAACAGUUACUAGACCUACAGGGGUAGCACCUGUCUCACCAAGAACUUUCACGAGCCUGGCAACAGCAGCAGCCAGCUUCCCGAAGAAAACAGCAGGCAUUUUUCAUUCAUUCAGACCCAUUGAAAUGGGCCUUUUCUUUUGGCUUGUACAAGUCUCUGGACAUGUUGUUUGCUACAGAUAUUUUGCCAGAUCCAUUCCUGCAAUUGUGACUCACUGAAAAAGGACAGUGUUUAUUUCUGUUAGGAAUGGUAGUGGCCAAAUUCUUACCACAGCUGGAUAUGGUAGGGUGGUCUUGUUUUUUCUCUCUGCUUCUCUACCCUUUAUGGUUUCAGUUCAGUCUGGAGAAAGUGUAAGGAAUAUUGGAAAAUAAUGGAAUACUUUUUCAGAGGUAAUCAUCAUGCAAGCCAGGACAGAAUAUAUCCUCUGAGAUCUUCAAAUGGUGUAGCUUGUGCUCAUUUGACUUAUAAAUUUGGCUCUGCAAGAGGAAAAUAGAUAGAUUUCAGGCUGUCGUAUUUAAUAGAAGCCCACUGACAACUUUGAGGGCUAUGUUGGUUUUGUUCUUUUCCAGUGCAAGACCAGACCUAUAUUCUACAGAUAAAGGUUGACCUGCAAAACUCCUUUCCCU